AGGGGCAGCACGAUGUAGCAAUACAUUGGUGGCGACCGGCGCACGGGUGAGUAACGCGUAUGCAACCUACCUAUCAGAGGGGAAUAACCCGGCGAAAGUCGGACUAAUACCGCAUAAAACAGGGGUUCCACAUGGAAAUAUUUGUUAAAGAAUUAUCGCUGAUAGAUGGGCAUGCGUUCCAUUAGAUAGUUGGUGAGGUAACGGCUCACCAAGUCCACGAUGGAUAGGGGUUCUGAGAGGAAGGUCCCCCACACUGGUACUGAGACACGGACCAGACUCCUACGGGAGGCAGCAGUGAGGAAUAUUGGUCAAUGGGCGAGAGCCUGAACCAGCCAAGUCGCGUGAAGGAUGAAGGAUCUAUGGUUUGUAAACUUCUUUUAUAUGGGAAUAAAGUGAGGAACGUGUUCCUUUUUGUAUGUACCAUAUGAAUAAGCAUCGACUAACUCCGUGCCAGCAGCCGCGGUAAUACGGAGGAUGCGAGCGUUAUCCGGAUUUAUUGGGUUUAAAGGGUGCGUAGGUGGUUAAUUAAGUCAGCGGUGAAAGUUUGUGGCUCAACCAUAAAAUUGCCGUUGAAACUGGUUGACUUGAGUAUAUUUGAGGUAGGCGGAAUGCGUGGUGUAGCGGUGAAAUGCAUAGAUAUCACGCAGAACUCCGAUUGCGAAGGCAGCUUACUAAACUAUAACUGACACUGAAGCACGAAAGCGUGGGGAUCAAACAGGAUUAGAUACCCUGGUAGUCCACGCAGUAAACGAUGAUUACUAGCUGUUUGCGAUACACAGUAAGCGGCACAGCGAAAGCGUUAAGUAAUCCACCUGGGGAGUACGCCGGCAACGGUGAAACUCAAAGGAAUUGACGGGGGCCCGCACAAGCGGAGGAACAUGUGGUUUAAUUC
rnacentral:rRNA from 1 species